rnacentral:lncRNA from 1 species
AAUCAACACUCCACUCAGACAAUGCCCAGACCUCCAGAAACCAUGUGUCAAGCUCGGAUUGCCUUAGACAGGUGCAAUUUAAGAACAGCUUUCAUCCUCUUUUCUCUCAUAUUGUCACACUAUGUGUUCUGACUUCUGGCUCCUUUCCUCACAAGAAGCUCACCCAGCUGGAACUCUUAUGGGACCUUGGCACCAGAGACCACAAAUUCCUCUUUGAAGUUUUCUAACAGCAACAAUGGUAUUUCUGACUUGGCUUUCUUGUAUUUCUCUCACGUUAACAAAAUUGGUUCAGCAUCUACCAUGGGCUACAUGCUGAGCUACAGAGUUUCGCUCUGUCGCCCAGGCUGGAGUGCAGUGGCGCGCGAUCUCGGUUCACUGCAAGCUCCACCUCCCGGGUUCACGCCAUUCUCCUGCCUCAGCCUCCUGAGUAGCUGGGACUACAGGCGCCCGCCACCACACCCAGGAAUCCAACUUGCUGUUUGCUAUCACAUGUGCUAUACAUGCUGUUGAUGAAACUGCUAAAGGGGCUGAAUGUGACUGACGUCUUUGGAAGGAUGAGACUUAGCGUGCCUGUACAGUUGUGUCCAAAUGCUGUCCUCAUCUCCCAAUGAAAAGAUACAUGAAAAGAAAGAAGGAGAGAAGGAAGAAAGGAGGGCGGAAGGAAAGGAAGAAGGGAGAGAAGAAGAGAAGAAAGAAGCAGAGAAAGGAAGAGAAAAGAAAUUACGGCCAGUGCGGUGGCUCACGCCUGUAAUCCUAGCACUUUGGGAGGCCUAAGCGGGCUGAUCACCUGAGGUCAGGAGUUCGUAAGCCAGCCUGGCCAACAUGGUGAAACCCUAUCUCUACUAAAAAUACAAAAAUCAGCAGGGCAUGGUGGUGCGUGCCUGUAAUCCCAGCUACCUGGGAGGCUGAGGUAGGAGAAUCGCUGGAACCCGAGAGGCGGAGGCUGCAGUGAGUUGAGAUCAUGUCACUGCACUCCAGGCUGGGCAACAGAGUGAGACUCUGUCUCA